ACCCCUAUGGCGUAAUGGCUAACGCGUUUGACUUCUACUCAUAGAAGAGCAUAUCAAAAGAUUCUCGGUUCGAGUCCGGGUAGGGGUG